rnacentral:rRNA from 1 species
UACGGAAGGGGCAAGCGUUGUUCGGAAUCAUUGGGCGUAAAGGGCGCGUAGGUGGUUCUGUAUGUCUACCGUGAAAGCAUACAGCUCAACUGUAUUUUGUCGGUAGAAACUGCAGGACUUGAGGCUGGGAGGGCUGGUGGAAUUCCCUGUGUAGCGGUGAAAUGCGUAGAGAUGGGGGAGAACACUCGUGGCGAAGGCGGCCAGCUAGACCAGUUCUGACACUGAGGCGCGACAGCGUGGGGAGCAAACAGG